GACGAACGCUGGCGGCGUGCCUAAUACAUGCAAGUCGAACGCAGUGGGGACGGGUGAGUAACACGUGGGUAACCUCCCAUCAGAGGGGAUACCACUUGGAAACAGGUGCUAAACCGAUACUGAUGGAUGGACCCGCGGUGCAUUAGCUAGUUGGUGGGGUAACGGCUCACCAAGGCCACGAUGCAUAGCCGGUCUGAGAGGGUGAUCAGCCACACUGGGACUGAGACACGGCCCAGACUCCUACGGGAGGCAGCAGUAGGGAAUCUUGGGCAAUGGGCGAAAGUCUGACAGAGCAAGGCCGCGUGAGUGAAGAAGGUUUUCGGAUCGUAAAGCACUGUUGGUGGAGAGGCGGUAUCUAACCAGAAAGCAACGGCUAACUACGUGCCAGCAGCCGCGGUAAUUC
rnacentral:rRNA from 1 species